AUGGGUAGAGCCCGAUUGCAAAUAAAUCCAUGGGAGAUGCUAGUCCUUGUGCCAUUUGUUUAUAUUCUUCUGUGAAAAGUUGGUGAGAGUGUGUCCCUUUGUACGAACACAUGUCUAAAGUAUGUGACUGAAAGCGCAUAGCAAAGGACCUGGAAAUCAUGGAGGGAUCUUUGGAAAAGCCAAAACCCUGAAAAGGAGAUGAUGCUCGAAGCAAAGGUGACAGAGAGACGUGACUCACCAGCAUCUGCCAGAGAAUUUGGUUUCAUGGACUUGUCCUUUUCCUUCAUGUUGGCAUGACUUGGCACAACCAAAGGGGGCCCCACAGAGAAACGCAAGCGAGGGAGAGUCUCCAUUUCCUGGAGGUUCAAGGAAACAACAGAAAGCCUUGUUUUCUCUCUGUGUGUGUUUACUUAUCUGUGGAAAGAAUGAGUAGUGAGUUUCUCUCCGUUCUCAGCUAAUCGUGACUACGGAGUUUCUGAGAUUUCUCGUCUCUUUGGACACAAAUAGCUCUCCGUUCUGGCUCAAGACGGAAUAAAAUGUGACUCAGUA